rnacentral:rRNA from 1 species
CCCUUAGAUGUCCGGGGCUGCACGCGCGCUACACUGAAGGAAUCAGCGUGCUAAAACCAUUGUCGAAAGGCAUUGGUAAACCCAUUAAAAUCCUACGUGAUUGGGAUCGGGAAUUGCAAUUAUUUCCCUUGAACGAGGAAUUCCCAGUAAGUGUGGGUCAUAAGCCCGCGUUGAUUACGUCCCUGCCCUUUGUACACACCGCCCGUCGCUGCCCGGGACUGAACCGUUUCGAGAAAAGCGGGGACUGCUGCUGUCGGGGCUUUCGGGCCUUGGCUUCGGUGGAAACCGCUUUAAUCGCAGUGGCUUGAACCGGGCAAAAGUCGUAACA